rnacentral:misc_RNA from 1 species
GAAGUGCGAUAAGUAAUGUGAAUUGCAGAAUUCAGUGAAUCAUCGAAUCUUUGAACGCACAUUGCGCCCGCCAGUAUUCUGGCGGGCAUGCCUGUCCGAGCGUCAUUUCAACCAUCAAGCCCCCGGGCUUGUGUUGGGGACCUGCGGCUGCCCGCAGGCCCUGAAAACCAGUGGCGGGCUCGCUGUCACACCGAGCGUAGUAGCAAUCACCUCGCUCAGGGCGUGCUGCGGGUUCCGGCCGUUAAACAGCCUUACAAAACCCAAGGUUGACCUCGGAUCAGGUAGGAAGACCCGCUGAACUUAAGC